rnacentral:rRNA from 1 species
UACGAAGGGUGCAAGCGUUACUCGGAAUUACUGGGCGUAAAGCGUGCGUAGGUGGUGAGUUAAGUCUGAUGUGAAAUCCCCGGGCUCAACCUGGGAAUGGCAUUGGAUACUGGCUCGCUAGAGUGCGGUAGAGGGUGGUGGGAUUCCCGGUGUAGCAGUGAAAUGCGUAGAGAUCGGGAGGAACAUCUGUGGCGAAGGCGGCCACCUGGACCAACACUGACACUGAGGCACGAAAGCGUGGGGAGCAAACAGGG